rnacentral:rRNA from 1 species
UUGGAGGGCAAGUCUGGUGCCAGCAGCCGCGGUAAUUCCAGCUCCAAUAGCGUAUAUUAAAGUUGCUGCAGUUAAAAAGCCCGUAGUUGAAUUUCGGGACCAAUAUGUCGGUCGUGCCUCGGUACGUACUGGCAUCGUUGGUUUCUCCCUUCUGACGAACCAUGAUGUCAUUUAUUUGGUGUCGUGGGGAAUCAGGACUGUUACUUUGAAAAAAUUAGAGUGUUUAAAGCAGGCUCACGCUUGAAUACAUUAGCAUGGAAUAAUGAAAUAGGACGUUUGAUUCUAUUUUGUUGGUUUCUAGGAUCGACGUAAUGAUUAAUAGGGAUAGUUGGGGGCAUUAGUAUUCAAUUGUCAGAGGUGAAAUUCUUGGAUUUAUUGAAGACUAACUACUGCGAAAGCAUUUGCCAAGGAUGUUUUCAUUAAUCAAGAACGAAAGUUAGGGGAUCGAAGACGAUCAGAUACCGUCGUAGUCUUAACCAUAAACUAUGCCGACUAGGGAUCGGAUGAUGUUAAUUUUUUAAUGACUCAUUCGGCGCCUUACGGGAAAC